rnacentral:rRNA from 1 species
UACGAAGGGGGCUAGCGUUGCUCGGAAUCACUGGGCGUAAAGGGUGCGUAGGCGGGUCUUUAAGUCAGGGAUGAAAUCCUGGAGCUCAACUCCAGAACUGCCUUUGAUACUGAGGAUCUUGAGUUCGGGAGAGGUGAGUGGAACUGCGAGUGUAGAGGUGAAAUUCGUAGAUAUUCGCAAGAACACCAGUGGCGAAGGCGGCUCACUGGCCCGAUACUGACGCUGAGGCACGAAAGCGUGAAAAGCAAACAGG